rnacentral:rRNA from 1 species
UACGAAGGGGGCUAGCGUUGCUCGGAAUCACUGGGCGUAAAGGGUGCGUAGGCGGGUCUUUAAGUCAGGGGUGAAAUCCUGGAGCUCAACUUCAGAACUGCCUUUGAUACUGAGGAUCUUGAGUUCGGGAGAGGUGAGUGGAACUGCGAGUGUAGAGGUGAAAUUCGUAGAUAUUCGCAAGAACACCAGUGGCGAAGGCGGCUCACUGGCC